rnacentral:rRNA from 1 species
UGCAGUCGAACGGUAACAUUUCUAGCUUGCUAGAAGAUGACGAGUGGCGGACGGGUGAGUAAUGCUUGGGAACUUGCCUUUGCGAGGGGGAUAACAGUUGGAAACGACUGCUAAUACCGCAUAAUGUCUACGGACCAAACGGGGCUUAGGCUCCGGCGCAAAGAGAGGCCCAAGUGAGAUUAGCUAGUUGGUAAGGUAACGGCUUACCAAGGCGACGAUCUCUAGCUGUUCUGAGAGGAAGAUCAGCCACACUGGGACUGAGACACGGCCCAGACUCCUACGGGAGGCAGCAGUGGGGAAUAUUGCACAAUGGGGGGAACCCUGAUGCAGCCAUGCCGCGUGUGUGAAGAAGGCCUUCGGGUUGUAAAGCACUUUCAGUUGUGAGGAAAAGUUAGUAGUUAAUACCUGCUAGCCGUGACGUUAACAACAGAAGAAGCACCGGCUAACUCCGUGCCAGCAGCCGCGGUAAUACGGAGGGUGCGAGCGUUAAUCGGAAUUACUGGGCGUAAAGCGCACGCAGGCGGUUUGUUAAGCUAGAUGUGAAAGCCCCGGGCUCAACCUGGGAUGGUCAUUUAGAACUGGCAGACUAGAGUCUUGGAGAGGGGAGUGGAAUUCCAGGUGUAGCGGUGAAAUGCGUAGAUAUCUGGAGGAACAUCAGUGGCGAANNCGACUCCCUGGCCAAAGACUGACGCUCAUGUGCGAAAGUGUGGGUAGCGAACAGGAUUAGAUACCCUGGUAGUCCACACCGUAAACGCUGUCUACUAGCUGUGUGUGUCUUUAANACGUGCGUANCGAGGCUAACGCGCUAAGUANACNGCCNGGGGAGUA